ensembl:lncRNA
CUCCUGUCCCCGCCCUGCCCCGCCCUGCCCUGCCCUGCCCGCGGUGGGGGCGUUGCGGGGCGGCGGGCGAUCUCGACGUGGCAGCCGGAGGGAGGGAGCCGUGACCUUCCUGCCCAGCGAGCGGCGGGGCUGCUUCCCCCCGUCGUGAGCCGCCUUUAAUUCGCUUCGUCUGCACCACCUCUCGGGUGUCGCGGAUAACCUUCCUGGGCCUGUCAGGCCAGAGAAGGCCCCAGGGGCCUACAGCUCCCGAGGUUGAGUCACCAGCCCCGGGGGAGCACCCCUGGCUCAGAGCUCAGCGUAUCCCACGUGCUGUGUGCACAUCAGCACGUAAGGACAGGUCCCAGUGGCGAAUGGAGAGCGCCAAAGCAGCCACGGCGCAACCUCAGCGCCAUGGAGAUCGGCUGCCCAGAGAGGUUGUGGAGUCUCCUUCUCUGGAGACACUCAAGACCCACCUGGACACCUACCUGUGCAACGUGGUCUAGGGAGCCUGCUUUGCAGGAGGGUUGGACUAGAUGAUCUCUACAGGUCCCGUCCAGCCCUUCAGUUGUGUGUUUCUGUGAUUCUAUGGGACGGGCAGGUGGAUGCUGCUUCAUAUCGGGCUUGCACUGCAGCCUUCCAAUAGGCCUUCUCUAGUGCAGAAAACGUUUUCAAAGAUGUCACCAAAAAAUUGAUGUUGUUUUGAAAAAUUCCAGCAAGGUAAUAUGACAACACAGAAGAUUUCAAAGAGCCAUGUUUCCUAAGAGCUCAACGCCCACAACUGGCUUAAUAGAUGGAAUUAAAUGUUGAGCUUUAUGAUUUGUCUGAAGGUGAAAGAGACCCGUAAGAAGCAUUGACUCCAGCUUCUGGCUCCACACAGGACCACCAAAAAUCAGACCGUCAUUCAGAGAUCUCAUAUCUGUCUUGGCUGCUAAGAAGCACUUGGCACAUUUCCAGCCUGGUUGGGUUGUCUGUGUGAGCCUGAAAAAAAAAAAAUACUGCAGAAAUCAAAUGAGCUCUUGGAACUGUCUUCUUCUGAAGAAAUGGUCACCAUGCCCUUGUGCCUUUUAAAUUCCUCUCUCAACUUCAGCACCUCAGCAGCUUUGGAAAUUUGGUCUUAUGAUAGCAAGUGGAAGGAAUUAAAGACAAAUUACUCAGAUAACACGGAAUUUAAACAGUCCUUAAUGGAGAGCUUGCCAAAACCAUGAAAUCAUGUCAUGAUGAGAAGUGUCACAAAUGAUCCCAUUGAGCUCAACAUGGUGCUUUGUGUUGGCAUGUGCCUGUGAAUUGAAGCUCAAACAUCAAGAAACUGGGCUACGGAGAGGCAGGAGCAAGUUCCAAGCCAAAGAGACUGAAGAUCAGUUGUGGAAGCUUCAGGAAGGCUCUAUAAAAAUUAU